rnacentral:rRNA from 1 species
UACGUAGGGAGCAAGCGUUAUCCGGAUUUAUUGGGUGUAAAGGGUGCGUAGACGGGAAGGCAAGUUAGUUGUGAAAUCCCUCGGCUCAACUGAGGAACUGCAACUAAAACUGGAUUUCUUGAGUGCUGGAGAGGAAAGCGGAAUUCCUAGUGUAGCGGUGAAAUGCGUAGAUAUUAGGAGGAACACCAGUGGCGAAGGCGGCUUUCUGGACAGUAACUGACGUUGAGGCACGAAAGUGUGGGGAGCAA